GUUUGAUCAUGGCUCAGGAUGAACGCUAGCUACAGGCUUAACACAUGCAAGUCGAGGGGCAUCAGUUUGGUUUGCUUGCAAACCAAAGCUGGCGACCGGCGCACGGGUGAGUAACACGUAUCCAACCUGCCUCAUACUCGGGGAUAGCCUUUCGAAAGAAAGAUUAAUAUCCGAUAGCAUAUAUUUCCCGCAUGGGUUUUAUAUUAAAGAAAUUCGGUAUGAGAUGGGGAUGCGUUCCAUUAGUUUGUUGGGGGGGUAACGGCCCACCAAGACUACGAUGGAUGGGGGUUCUGAGAGGAAGGUCCCCCACAUUGGAACUGAGACACGGUCCAAACUCCUACGGGAGGCAGCAGUGAGGAAUAUUGGUCAAUGGACGCGAGUCUGAACCAGCCAAGUAGCGUGAAGGAUGACUGCCCUAUGGGUUGUAAACUUCUUUUAUAUGGGAAUAAAGUUGUCCACGUGUGGAUUUUUGUAUGUACCAUAUGAAUAAGGAUCGGCUAACUCCGUGCCAGCAGCCGCGGUAAUACGGAGGAUCCGAGCGUUAUCCGGAUUUAUUGGGUUUAAAGGGAGCGUAGGCGGAUUGUUAAGUCAGUUGUGAAAGUUUGCGGCUCAACCGUAAAAUUGCAGUUGAUACUGGCAGUC
rnacentral:rRNA from 1 species